GACGAACGCUGGCGGCGUGCUUAACACAUGCAAGUCGAACGGAAAGGCCCUGCUUUUGUGGGGUGCUCGAGUGGCGAACGGGUGAGUAACACGUGAGUAACCUGCCCUUGACUUUGGGAUAGCUUCAGGAAACUGGGGCUAAUACCGGAUAGGAGCUCCUGCUGCAUGGUGGGGGUUGGAGAGUUUCGGCGGUUGGGGAUGGACUUGCGGCUUAUCAGCUUGCUGGUGGGGUAGUGGCUUACCAAGGCUUUGACGGGUAGCCGGCCUGAGAGGGUGACCGGCCACAGUGGGAGUGAGAGACGGCCCAGAGUAGUACGGGAGGCAGGGGUGGGGAAGAGUGCAGAAUGGGGGGAAGGCUGAGGCAGGAACGCCGCGUGAGGGAUGACGGCCUUUGGGUAGUAAACCGCUUUCGCUUGUGAGGAAGCGUGAGUGACGGUAAUGGAUAAAGAAGCACCGGCUAACUACGUG
rnacentral:rRNA from 1 species